CCUACGGGAGGCAGCAGUAGGGAAUAUUGCUCAAUGGGGGAAACCCUGAAGCAGCAACGCCGCGUGGAGGAUGAAGGUUUUCGGAUUGUAAACUCCUUUUGUUAGAGGAGUUAAUGACGGUAUCUAACGAAUAAGCACCGUCUAACUCCGUGCCAGCAGCCGCGGUAAUACGGGGGGUGCAAGCGUUACUCGGAGUCACUGGGCGUAAAGGGCGCGUAGGCGGGAUAGCAAGUCAGAUGUGAAAGCCUAUGGCUUAACCAUAGAACUGCAUUUGAAACUGGUGUUCUAGAGUAUGGGAGAGGUAGGUGGAAUUCUUGGUGUAGGGGUAAAAUCCGUAGAGAUCAAGAGGAACACUCAUUGCGAAGGCGACCUGCUAGAACAUAACUGACGCUGAUGCGCGAAAGCGUGGGGAGCAAACAGGAUUAGAUACCCUUGUAGUC
rnacentral:rRNA from 1 species